GACGAACGCUGGCGGCGUGCUUAACACAUGCAAGUAGAACGCUGAAGCUCAGCUUUUGUUGGGUGGAUGAGUGGCGAACGGGUGAGUAACACGUGAGUAACCUGCCCCCUUCUUUGGGAUAACGCCCGGAAACGGGUGCUAAUACUGGAUAUUCACUGGUCUUCGCAUGGGGGUUGGUGGAAAGGGUUUUUCUGGUGGGGGAUGGGCUCGCGGCCUAUCAGCUUGUUGGUGGGGUGAUGGCCUACCAAGGCUUUGACGGGUAGCCGGCCUGAGAGGGUGACCGGUCACAUUGGGACUGAGAUACGGCCCAGACUCCUACGGGAGGCAGCAGUGGGGAAUAUUGCACAAUGGGCGCAAGCCUGAUGCAGCGACGCCGCGUGAGGGAUGGAGGCCUUCGGGUUGUGAACCUCUUUCGCUCAUGGUCAAGCCGCAACAAUGGUUGUGGUGAGGGUAGUGGGUAAAGAAGCGCCGGCUAACUACGUG
rnacentral:rRNA from 1 species